rnacentral:rRNA from 1 species
CCUACGGGUGGCAGCAGUGAGGAAUAUUGGUCAAUGGACGCAAGUCUGAACCAGCCAUGCCGCGUGCAGGAAGACGGCUCUAUGAGUUGUAAACUGCUUUUGUACGAGGGUAAACUCAGAUACGCGUAUCUUUCUGAAAGUAUCUUACGAAUAAGGAUCGGCUAAUUCCGUGCCAGCAGCCGCGGUAAUACGGAGGAUUCAAGCGUUAUCCGGAUUUAUUGGGUUUAAAGGGUGCGUAGGCGGUCUGAUAAGUUAGCGGUGAAAUCCGGAGGCUCAACUUCGGACUUGCCUGUGAUACUGUUCGGCUAGAGAGUAGUUGCGGUAGGCGGAAUGUAUGGUGUAGCGGUGAAAUGCUUAGAGAUCAUACAGAACACCGAUCGCGAAGGCAGCUUACCAAGCUACUUCUGACGUUGAGGCACGAAAGCGUGGGGAUCAAACAGGAUUAGAUACCCGUGUAGUC